rnacentral:rRNA from 1 species
GUAGUAGUGGGUGUAGCGUACCUACUAGCCUACGACGGGUACGGGUUGUGAGAGCAAGAGCCCGGAGAUGGAUUCUGAGACACGAAUCCAGGCCCUACGGGGUGCAGCAGGCGCGAAAACUUUACAAUGCUGGCAACAGCGAUAAGGGAACCUCGAGUGCCAGGUUACAAAUCUGGCUGUCGAGAUGCCUAAAAAGCAUUUCAUAGCAAGGGCCGGGCAAGACCGGUGCCAGCCGCCGCGGUAACACCGGCGGCUCGAGUGGUAACCGUUAUUAUUGGGUCUAAAGGGUCUGUAGCCGGCCGGAUAAGUCUCUUGAGAAAUCUGGCAGCUUAACUGUCAGGCUUUCAGGAGAUACUGUCUGGCUCGAGGCCGGGAGAGGUGAGAGGUACUUCAGGGGUAGGGGUGAAAUCUUGUAAUCCUUGAAGGACCACCAGUGGCGAAGGCGUCUCACCAGAACGGACCUGACGGCAAGGGACGAAAGCUGGGGGAGCAAACCGGAUUAGAUACCCGGGUAGUCCCAGCUGUAAACGAUGCGCGUUAGGUGUAUCGGUGACCACGAGUCAUCGAGGUGCCGAAGGGAAACCGUGAAACGUG